ACGAACGCUGGCGGCAUGCCUAACACAUGCAAGUCGAACGAGACCUUCGGGUCUAGUGGCGCACGGGUGCGUAACGCGUGGGAAUCUGCCCUUGGGUUCGGAAUAACAGUUGGAAACGACUGCUAAUACCGGAUGAUGACGUAAGUCCAAAGAUUUAUCGCCCAAGGAUGAGCCCGCGUAGGAUUAGCUAGUUGGUGAGGUAAAGGCUCACCAAGGCGACGAUCCUUAGCUGGUCUGAGAGGAUGAUCAGCCACACUGGGACUGAGACACGGCCCAGACUCCUACGGGAGGCAGCAGUGGGGAAUAUUGGACAAUGGGCGAAAGCCUGAUCCAGCAAUGCCGCGUGAGUGAUGAAGGCCUUAGGGUUGUAAAGCUCUUUUACUCGGGAUGAUAAUGACAGUACCGGGAGAAUAAGCUCCGGCUAACUCCGUG
rnacentral:rRNA from 1 species